rnacentral:rRNA from 1 species
UAUUGAUUCUGCAUCACGUUGAAGGCACCGAUUCCCAUCCGAUCAAUAAAGUUAAGCGACAUGGAGCAUAAUUAAUAUUUAUAUAAGUAACCACUUCGAAAAUCUAGGUGCAACUCUAUAU